rnacentral:rRNA from 1 species
AGCGAACGCUGGCGGCAGGCCUAACACAUGCAAGUCGAACGGAUCCUUCGGGAUUAGUGGCGGACGGGUGAGUAACACGUGGGAACGUGCCCUUUGGUUCGGAACAACUCAGGGAAACUUGAGCUAAUACCGGAUGUGCCCUUCGGGGGAAAGAUUUAUCGCCAUUGGAGCGGCCCGCGUCUGAUUAGCUAGUUGGUGAGGUAACGGCCCACCAAGGCGACGAUCAGUAGCUGGUCUGAGAGGAUGAUCAGCAACACUGGGACUGAGACACGGCCCAGACUCCUACGGGAGGCAGCAGUGGGGAAUCUUGCGCAAUGGGCGAAAGCCUGACGCAGCCAUGCCGCGUGAAUGAUGAAGGUCUUAGGAAUGUAAAAUUCUUUCAGCGGGGACGAUAAUGACGGUACCCGCAGAAGAAGCUCCGGCUAACUUCGUG